rfam:Pseudomonas sp. Lz4W Contig11, whole genome shotgun sequence.
GAACGCAGGUGCUGUUGUGGGGGUGGCGAGGCAGGACGCCGAGCCAGCCGUGCCGGGCCAUGGAUGGCCCGUCACGGCGUGCCCCCACAACAGUGUCGGAGUGA